GGAUGGAUGAUACAUGGAUAGACGGACAGAUGGAUGGAUGGACAGAUGGAUGAAUGGAUGGACAGAUGGACAAACGGAUGGACGGAUGGAUGGAUGAUUGGAUGUGUCAGCAUAUGACAAGUGGGUCCAAAUCCCAUUUAACGUAAAAGGUCUGGGGCCUGGGAUGCUGGAAACAGCCUGUGGCCUUCACCUGGGCCUCCCUCAUGCUCCUUGUAGCUCGUCAGCCACAUUCCCUGGAAAGGCAACAUGCCCGUCCAGCCCUUGGCACACUGAACCCUAGUCGCAGAUUUAGGUGUCAACCUGGAGCACCCUCAGGGUCCAUGUCUGGUCCUCUCUGACCACAGCCAGGGUCCAGACCAAGGCCAAGACAAGAACAAGGGCUUGGUGAGGGCUGGGUGAGCAUGUCCAUGGGGCUGGGAGGGCUUGGGCUCUAUUUAGAGCAGCAAAGCCAGUGCCCAGCCUCUCGCCUUGCCAGGCCUCUCUCCCUAAGGUCCUGCCAGGAUUCCUUUAGACAUGGGCAUCCUUUGGGGAUCUGUCGUCUCAUUCUCCCUGAGGCAGCCUCAGACCUGAGAAAUGGCACCCCCGUUGCCCCUGUCCCGACCCUGAGGGUGAGUGGGAGGGGAAGGCAUUGGCUCGGCCCCCACCCACACAGGCAUGGGUCUGGCAGACCCACAGUGUCUUGCAGAUUGCCAGGAGCCACGUCCCUGGCUGGUGCUGGACCUGCCACAGGAGGACCUGGAGGAAGACACCCCAGGAGCCAGCCUGUGGCCCACCACCGUCACCCUGCUCACCCUCUUCCUACUGAGUCUCUUCUACAGUACAGCACUGACGGUGACAAGCGUGCGGGGCCCAGCCGACAGCAGAGAGGGCCCCCAGUACUGAGCAGAGGCCAGCCAGACACAGGGAGGAGUCCAGAGGAGCCUUCUGGAACCCCAGCUGGAUGCCAGAGCUCAGCCCUGCUGAGAAGCUGCCCACCCACCCCACACGCAGGCCUUGCUGGUGCAAUAAAGUGAUACCAAAGACAAAA